UCCUACGGGAGGCAGCAGUGAGGAAUAUUGGUCAAUGGGCGCGAGCCUGAACCAGCCAAGUAGCGUGAAGGAUGACUGCCCUACGGGUCGUAAACUUCUUUUAUAGAGGAAUAAAGUGAGGCACGUGUGCCUUUUUGUAUGUACUUUAUGAAUAAGGAUCGGCUAACUCCGUGCCAGCAGCCGCGGUAAUACGGAGGAUCCGAGCGUUAUCCGGAUUUAUUGGGUUUAAAGGGAGCGUAGAUGGGUUGUUAAGUCAGUUGUGAAAGUUUGCGGCUCAACCGUAAAAUUGCAAUUGAUACUGGCAG
rnacentral:rRNA from 1 species